UAAAGCUACACAACUGCUCAUAAAUACGGCGAGAGAUUGAAGCGAUGAAUAAUUUGAGCGCGAACCAAAAUUGAACCAGAAUCGAGAAAUUUCUCUUCGAGGGAGUUUUCUAGGGUUUUGUUCUUGUUCCCUUUUCUCCUCUUUAAAUCUCCAGCUUCAUCGGAGGAGGAAGAAGCUCUUGAAGAGGAUCGGAGGAGGAAGAAGGAAAAAGUUUGGUUCUUGAAUCAGCCGUUUUCACUCGAAUAUCUUUGACGUAUUUCCUCAAUUUGGGAAAUUUAGCGAUUCAGGGUUUGUAAGUUAUUGUUCAGCCCUGAGCUUUGGAUCCCAUCACUAAUUGCAUCAGAUCAUCUAAAAAAUUAUAUCAAUGUUGAAGCUGUCAAAUCCCAUUUUAAAAAGGUAUGUAUGUGAUCCUUUUAUUCCCGUUCAAUGACUGGCAUUGCAGGAAUUUUUUUUUACUCUUUAUUCUAACCAAGGAGUCAGUCCUCAUUUUGCAUGCUUGCAAAGGUCUAUGGAACAUAUUCAGUUCCAAUAAAUUGAUGCUAGUUCUGAUAAAAGAAAGGACUGACGUACUUUCAGCUGAAAGCAUAAUUGUCGAUCCUGCAAGGGACAUAUGGGUUCACAUGAAACUUCAGAUCUAUAAAGAAGAUCUUGCAGAAAUAUGCAUCUAAGUUUAGUAUCUUUUCAGUUAUACUCUUGUAUCUUUUAUGUAUAUCGUAUAAUUUCUUUCAAAUCUUACUUUUUGAAUAACCUUCUAUAUUUCAGGUUGUUGUUGUUGUUGAUUAUGCAGGGCAGAAGGUAACAGUUAAGCUCAUCCGAAAGAUUGAUUUACAAAACAUUGCUGCUAAGAUGGCUUGUGUGACUUCCGUUCCACUUAUUUGUAGAUGGUUAUUCUCUGUCUUCAAGUAUUCUUAUGCACUCAUUGCAUUGUAAAUUUGGCAGUAAAACAUUUUUUUUGCUUGCUAGUUAGGUUUCCUUUCCUUUACGUUCAAAGUAGUUUAUCCUCAAUUUUAUCAGGAAGGUAGGUGAAUCAGAAGAAAGAAGACAUUUGUACCUCUACCACAUUUCUUCAACAUUGAUGAAGGAUGAUACUUUCAUCACUCUUUUGUUGGCUGUGAACUUUGGUAUUUAAAGAACAAGAACUGAUACAUUUAUUUGUUUCAUUGUUUUCAAAGAGUAGGAGGGACAAAGACUGGUGAUUAUUUUGAAGCUGUGGAUAUUACUAUGUUCAAAGGAGGGUUUUUAUAUAAAAGUAUCCAUGAAAUUAGUCAGUUUCCAACAACCUGAUGAUCCUGAUGGUGAUGUGGAAAACUCGUCUGUUUUAUUUGUAAACAGAAAAAUGGUAAAUUUCUCAGGGGUGAUGAUGUUAUAGUUGUUUGAGGAGAUCUAAAAAAUCUGUUGGGUUGGGUUGAAAAAGUGGAGGAAGAGAACAUCCAUCAGACUGAAGAUGGAAGGGCUACCGUGAUAUUCAUGUAUAUGUAGGUGCUUAAAGGGGUCCCACUAGGACUGAGGUUAUGCUUGUCAAAUGGCUCAAGGAACAUAUUUCAGCAAAGGAUGUCAUGAGGGUUCUGGAGGAGUGGUAAGGGAAAGCAAGGCUCUGUCGAAUGCAUGCAUAAAUGAAUCUUGUUCAUCUAUGAUGGCCAUCACCCAGAGCAUGCUGGUUUUGUUUGUGCGUAUGCUCAGUCCUGUAUGGUCAUUGGUGGAUCGCAAGGGAACCGUCAAAGAAGUGCAUGGCUCUAGUUCUCGUCAACUCAGAGUACAGUUUAGAAAUGUUGGUGUGCUUUUUUGCUGUGUUGCAUUGGAAACUAGUGCUUGUUAUAUUUGGAGAUAUGCAGGGUUUAAAUUCCUUGGCUAAUUUGAGAUGUUCAUUUCUUCAUUCUUCUAAUGGACCAACUACAGGAUCUGCCGCAGAAAAUUAAUUCUGCAAACCUGGUGGAAGAUUUGGAUGUGACAGAGGGCAUAAUCCUUUAGCGAGUAGAAUUGUUAAAAGUCGAGCAGGUCCCUUGAAAGGAUAUCAUCGUCGUUGAAAGAAGUUACAGAUGUAUCGGUGCGUGUUGAAUUGGAUUCACAGAUGAAGAUUAUUAGAGGGAAACACCUUGAUACGGCAUGGGGAGUCAAACACCUAUGCGCUCUUUCACAGACUCUGCUGCUUCAGGCUCCAACGAAAGAUCCUGGAGCAAUACCAAUAAAUGGCGGUAUGAGGACUCAUUUGGUUAAUUGAGCAUGGGCUCCCAUGAGUCCCCUAAGAAUGUUCCGUCGUCACCUUUUAGUACACAGCAAGCUGCAUCUUGUUUCAUCUAAUAAGGAGGCUCCAAACCUUUCAAGUUUCAUGUGAGGGUCUUGUGCGCAACUAUAAUGCAAGUCAUCAUGGGCUUCCAUCCCUUUUCCUUCCUUUAUGGUUGUUAAUGUUUGGCUUUUAGGACAUUUUUUGGAAUUGACGGAAAGCGACCUCAUCAAUUCAAUUUCAACCUUAUUCCUGUGUGGGAUUGGAUCGGCAUGUAGCUUGGUUUAUGUAUGCAUAAAGCACGUUGUUGAUAAAACUAUUGCUUUGAUUUGAGGUCAUGGUCCCUUUAAGAAAACUCUAUGAUGCACACUCUGAUCUAUGCAUC